AUUGAACGCUGGCGGCAGGCUUAACACAUGCAAGUCGAGCGGGGUGAUGGUGCUUGCACUAUCACUUAGCGGCGGACGGGUGAGUAAUGCUUAGGAAUCUGCCUAUUAGUGGGGGACAACAUCUCGAAAGGGAUGCUAAUACCGCAUACGUCCUACGGGAGAAAGCAGGGGAUCACUUGUGACCUUGCGCUAAUAGAUGAGCCUAAGUCGGAUUAGAUAGUUGGUGGGGUAAAGGCCUACCAAGGCGACGAUCUGUAGCGGGUCUGAGAGGAUAGUCCGCCACACUGGGACUGAGACACGGCCCAGACUCCUACGGGAGGCAGCAGUGGGGAAUAUUGGACAAUGGGGGGAACCCUGAUCCAGCCAUGCCGCGUGUGUGAAGAAGGCCUUAUGGUUGUAAAGCACUUUAAGCGAGGAGGAGGCUCUUUUGGUUAAUACCCAAGAUGAGUGGACGUUACUCGCAGAAUAAGCACCGGCUAACUCUGUGCCAGCAGCCGCGGUAA
rnacentral:rRNA from 1 species